UUUAUUGGAGAGUUUGAUCCUGGCUCAGGAUGAACGCUGGCGGCGUGCCUAAUACAUGCAAGUCGAGCGAAUGGAUUGAGAGCUUGCUCUCAAGAAGUUAGCGGCGGACGGGUGAGUAACACGUGGGUAACCUGCCCAUAAGACUGGGAUAACUCCGGGAAACCGGGGCUAAUACCGGAUAACAUUUUGAACCGCAUGGUUCGAAAUUGAAAGGCGGCUUCGGCUGUCACUUAUGGAUGGACCCGCGUCGCAUUAGCUAGUUGGUGAGGUAACGGCUCACCAAGGCAACGAUGCGUAGCCGACCUGAGAGGGUGAUCGGCCA
rnacentral:rRNA from 1 species